CACAUUGUAUAGAGUAUAAAGUUUCUUAAUUAAAUCCAACAUUGUAUAGAGUAUAAAGUUUCUUAAUUAAAUCCAAAAAUAUUGUUUGGUGUAGUGGUUGAAGGGCAUUUUAUUGUUUCAAAGGGUCAAGGGUUUGAAACCCCCUUCCCUUUUUUUUUUGAUUUUUCAUUUUUUUUGGUUCUUUUUUAUUACCGAUUUUUUUGCUUUUCCAUUUUUUUCUUUUUUUGUUCCUUUUUUUUGCGAUUUUUUGCUUUUUUGUUUCUAUUUUUUUGUUUUGCCUUUUUUUCCAGUUUUUUUUUCAACUUUUUUGUCUUUUUCGUUUUUGCUUUUUUUUUCCUUCUUUUUGUCAGCUCCUUUAUUUUCUUCUAUUUCUCUAUUUAAUUUUUUCGUUGUAAUAAUAAUUAUCUUUUAUUACGACAAUAAUUACUUGACCAAAUAGUUAAGAAUAAAAGUUCUAGCGAGUGGAAAUAAUAUUACAUUUCUUCACAUCAAUAAUUAUUUUUGCUUACAAAAAUAAUUACUUGAGAAAAUAACUAAAAGUACAAAUUCUGAUAAAUAAAAGUAAC
rnacentral:lncRNA from 1 species